AGAGUUUGAUCCUGGCUCAGAACGAACGCUGGCGGCGUGGAUAAGACAUGCAAGUCGAACGCUGAUUGUCGGGUAGCAAUAUUCGGCAGUCGGAGUGGCGCAAGGGUGCGUAACACGUGGGUAAUCUGCCAUGAAGUUUGGGAUAACUCGCUGAAAGGCGAGCUAAUACCGGAUGUGAAAAUUGGAAGGCAUCUUUUGAUUUUCAAAGCUGGGGACCGUAAGGCCUGGCGCUUCUUGAUGAACCCGCGGCCUAUCAGCUAGUUGGUGAGGUAACGGCCCACCAAGGCUAAGACGGGUAGCUGGUCUGAGAGGACGACCAGCCACACUGGAACUGAGACACGGUCCAGACACCUACGGGUGGCAGCAGUCGAGAAUUUUUCACAAUGGGCGCAAGCCUGAUGGAGCGACGCCGCGUGGGGGAUGAAUGGCUUCGGCCCGUAAACCCCUGUCAUUUGCGAACAAACGUUAUUAUUUAAAAGGUGAUGACCUGAUUGUAGCGAAAGAGGAAGGGACGGCUAACUCUGUGCCAGCAGCCGCGGUAAUACAGAGGUCCCAAGCGUUGUUCGGAUUCACUGGGCGUAAAGGGUGCGUAGGUGGCGGGGUAAGUCGGAUGUGAAAUCUCCGAGCUCAACUCGGAAAUGGCAUUGGAAACUACCUUGCUCGAGGGUUGGAGGGGGGACUGGAAUACUUGGUGUAGCAGUGAAAUGCGUAGAUAUCAAGUGGAACACCAGUGGCGAAGGCGAGUCCCUGGACAACUCCCGACACUGAGGCACGAAAGCUAGGGGAGCAAACAGGAUUAGAUACCCUAGUAGUCC
rnacentral:rRNA from 1 species